rnacentral:rRNA from 1 species
CUACGUGCCAGCAGCCGCGGUAAUACGGAAGGUUCGGGCGUUAUCCGGAUUUAUUGGGUUUAAAGGGAGCGUAGGCUGGAGAUUAAGUGUGUUGUGAAAUGUAGACGCUCAACGUYUGACUUGCAGCGCAUACUGGUUUCCUUGAGUACGCACAACGUUGGCGGAAUUCGUCGUGUAGCGGUGAAAUGCUUAGAUAUGACGAAGAACUCCGAUUGCGAAGGCAGCUGACGGGAGCGCAACUGACGCUGAAGCUCGAAGGUGCGGGUAUCGAACAGGAUUAGAUACCCUGGUAGUCCGCACAGUAAACGAUGGAUGCCCGCUGUUGGUACUUGGUAUCAGCGGCUAAGCGAAAGCAUUAAGCAUCCCMCCUGGGGAGUACGCCGGCAACGGUGAAACUCAAAGGAAUUGACGGGGGCCCGCACAAGCGGAGGAACAUGUGGUUUAAUUCGAAGCAACGCGAAGAACCUUACCAGGUCUU